AUCAAUUACUUUUCUGAGCACAGGAAUAACAGGCUUAAUCCUGCUCCACUGGAUUUCUCUACAUAAAAAUGACAAGAACUAAGAUGAUGAAGAUGAUAAUGGUAUUCUAUCCUUUCCUGGAUUACUUCUGUCACAUCCUAGAAGCCUCCGACUAAGAGGCUCACUCUGCAAACUGUUGAUUGCCAUGGGAUAGGGAAAGGGCAAGAAGCUGAAGCGGAUGACCUUUGGAAGAUCUAGGUUACAUGAACACCUUACAGAAGUCUGUCUUUGUUGGAGAAGAU
rnacentral:lncRNA from 1 species